UACGGAGGGUGCGAGCGCUGUCCGGAAUCAUUGGGCGUAAAGGGCGCGUAGGUGGCGGGACAAGCGUGCGGUGAAAGCUCGGGGCUCAACCCCGAGUCGGCCGUGCGAACUGUUUUGCUUGAGCACUGUAGAGGCAGGCGGAAUUCCGGGUGUAGCGGUGGAAUGCGUAGAGAUCCGGAAGAACACCGGUGGCGAAGGCGGUUGGCUGGGCCACAACUGACACUGAUGCGCGACAGCGUGGGGAGCAAACAGG
rnacentral:rRNA from 1 species